rnacentral:rRNA from 1 species
CCUGACUGCUAUCGGAUUGAUACUAAGCCAUGCGAGUCUUUGCAGUAAUGCAAGGCAUACGGCUCAGUAACACGUAGUCAACUUACCCUAUGGACGAGGAUAAUCUCGGGAAACUGAGCAUAAUACUCGAUAGAUCAUAAUGCCUGGAAUGGUUUAUGGUUGAAAUGAUUCGUCGCCAUAGGAUGGGACUGCGGCCUAUCAGCUUGUUGGUGAGGUAAUGGCCCACCAAGGCGAUUACAGGUACGGGCUCUGAGAGGAGAAGCCCGGAGAUGGGUACUGAGACAAGGACCCAGGCCCUAUGGGGCGCAGCAGGCGAGAAAACUUUGCAAUGUGCGAAAGCACGACAAGGUUAAUCCGAGUGAUUUCUGCUAAAGAAAUCUUUUGCAAGUCAUAAAACCACUAGUGAAUAAGGGGUGGGCAAGUUCUGGUGUCAGCCGCCGCGGUAAAACCAGCACCUCAAGUGGUCAGGAGGAUUAUUGGGCCUAAAGCAUCCGUAGCCGGCUCUGUAAGUUUUCGGUUAAAUCCAUGUGCUCAACGCAUGGGCUGCCGAAAAUACUGCAUAGCUAGGGAGUGGGAGAGGUAGACGGUACUCGGUAGGAAGGGGUAAAAUCCUUUGAUCUAUCGAUGACCACCUGUGGCGAAGGCGGUCUACCAGAACACGUUCGACGGUGAGGGAUGAAAGCUGGGGGAGCAAACCGGAUUAGAUACCCGGGUAGUCCCAGCUGUAAACGAUGCAGACCCGAUGAUGCAUUGGCAUAUAGCCAGUGCAGUGUCGCAGGGAAGCCGUUAAGUCUGCCGCCUGGGAAGUACGUACGCAAGUAUGAAACUUAAAGGAAUUGGCGGGGGAGCACCACUAAGGGGUGAAGCCUGCGGUUC